UACAGAGGGUGCAAGCGUUAAUCGGAAUUACUGGGCGUAAAGCGCACGUAGGCGGAUAUUUAAGUCAGGGGUGAAAGUCCCAGAGCUCAACUCUGGAACUGCCUUUGAUACUGGGUAUCUUGAGUAUGGAAGAGGUAAGUGGAAUUGCGAGUGUAGAGGUGAAAUUCGUAGAUAUUCGCAGGAACACCAGUGGCGAAGGCGGCUUACUGGUCCAUAACUGAC
rnacentral:rRNA from 1 species